AAAACAUUCAGACCGCCGGCGCCGGUCUACCGAGUAAAAUCACACGCUCGGUGGAAGAUCUUCCCUUUGUCGU
rnacentral:pre_miRNA from 1 species